UACAGAGGUCUCAAGCGUUGUUCGGAUUCAUUGGGCGUAAAGGGUGCGUAGGCGGCGCGGUAAGUCGGGUGUGAAAUCUCGGGGCUUAACUCCGAAACUGCAUUCGAUACUGCCGUGCUUGAGGACUGGAGAGGAGACUGGAAUUUACGGUGUAGCGGUGAAAUGCGUAGAUAUCGUAAGGAAGACCAGUGGCGUAGGCGGGUCUCUGGACAGUUCCUGACGCUGAGGCACGAAGGUCAGGGGAGCAAACGGG
rnacentral:rRNA from 1 species